rfam:Lactobacillus apis strain Hma11 genomic scaffold Hma11_scaffold2, whole genome shotgun sequence.
CUCAACAAGUAAAUAUUAAUCUAUAUAUUGUCGUAAUGUGGUCGACAGUCUCUACUCAGAACCGUAAAUUCUGAACUAUGGAUAAACAAUAGCAAUUA